rnacentral:rRNA from 1 species
GACGAACGCUGGCGGCGUGCUUAACACAUGCAAGUCGAACGGAAAGGCCCUGCUUUUGUGGGGUGCUCGAGUGGCGAACGGGUGAGUAACACGUGAGUAACCUGCCCUUGACUUUGGGAUAACUUCAGGAAACUGGGGCUAAUACCGGAUAGGAGCUCCUGCUGCAUGGUGGGGGUUGGAAAGUUUCGGCGGUUGGGGAUGGACUCGCGGCUUAUCAGCUUGUUGGUGGGGUAGUGGCUUACCAAGGCUUUGACGGGUAGCCGGCCUGAGAGGGUGACCGGCCACAUUGGGACUGAGAUACGGCCCAGACUCCUACGGGAGGCAGCAGUGGGGAAUAUUGCAAAAUGGGCGGAAGCCUGAUGCAGCAACGCCGCGUGCGGGAUGACGGCCUUCGGGUUGUAAACCGCUUUCGCCUGUGACGAAGCGUGAGUGACGGUAACGGGUAAAGAAGCACCGGCUAACUACGUG